CCUACGGGUGGCAGCAGUGAGGAAUAUUGGUCAAUGGACGCAAGUCUGAACCAGCCAUGCCGCGUGCAGGAAGACUGCCCUAUGAGUUGUAAACUGCUUUUGUACGAGGGUAAACGCAGAUACGUGUACCUGUUUGAAAGUAUCGUACGAAUAAGGAUCGGCUAACUCCGUGCCAGCAGCCGCGGUAAUACGGAGGAUCCAAGCGUUAUCCGGAUUUAUUGGGUUUAAAGGGUGCGUAGGCGGUCGGGUAAGUUAGAGGUGAAAUCCUGAGGCUCAACUUCGGAAUUGCCUCUGAUACUGGUCGGCUAGAGAGUAGUUGCGGUAGGCGGAAUGUAUGGUGUAGCGGUGAAAUGCUUAGAGAUCAUACAGAACACCGAUUGCGAAGGCAGCUUACCAAGCUACUACUGACGUUGAGGCACGAAAGCGUGGGGAGCAAACAGGAUUAGAUACCCGUGUAGUC
rnacentral:rRNA from 1 species